GCCAGACUCCUACGGGAGGCAGCAGUGGGGAAUAUUGGGCAAUGGGCGCAAGCCUGACCCAGCAACGCCGCGUGAAGGAAGAAGGCUUUCGGGUUGUAAACUUCUUUUCUCAGGGACGAAGAAAGUGACGGUACCUGAGGAAUAAGCCACGGCUAACUACGUGCCAGCAGCCGCGGUAAUACGUAGGUGGCAAGCGUUAUCCGGAUUUACUGGGUGUAAAGGGCGUGUAGGCGGAGCUGCAAGUCAGAAGUGAAAUCUCCGGGCUCAACCCGGAAACUGCUUUUGAAGCUGUAGCCCUUGAGUAUCGGAGAGGCAGGCGGAAUUCCUAGUGUAGCGGUGAAAUGCGUAGAUAUUAGGAGGAACACCAGUGGCGAAGGCGGCCUGCUGGACGACAACUGACGCUGAGGCGCGAAAGCGUGGGGAGCAAACAGGAUUAGAUACCCGCGUAC
rnacentral:rRNA from 1 species